AGGGAAUCUUCCACAAUGGACGGAAGUCUGAUGGAGCAACGCCGCGUGGAGGAAGAAGGUCUUCGGAUUGUAAACUCCUGUCUUCUGGGACGAAUAAAUGACGGUACCAGAGGAGGAAGCCACGGCUAACUACGUGCCAGCAGCCGCGGUAAUACGUAGGUGGCAAGCGUUGUCCGGAAUUAUUGGGCGUAAAGGGCGCGUAGGCGGCAACCUAAGUCAGAUGUGAAACCCUGGGGCUUAACUCCGGACGUGCAUUUGAAACUGGGUAGCUAGAGUGCAGGAGAGGAAAGCGGAAUUCCUAGUGUAGCGGUGAAAUGCGUAGAUAUUAGGAGGAACACCAGUGGCGAAGGCGGCUUUCUGGACUGUAACUGACGCUGAGGCGCGAAAGCGUGGGGAGCAAACA
rnacentral:rRNA from 1 species